rnacentral:rRNA from 1 species
AUUGAACGCUGGCGGCAGGCCUAACACAUGCAAGUCGAACGAGUGGCGGACGGGUGAGUAAUGUCUGGGAAACUGCCUGAUGGAGGGGGAUAACUACUGGAAACGGUAGCUAAUACCGCAUACCAUCAGAUGUGCCCAGAUGGGAUUAGCUGGGGGGUGGGGUACCGGCUCACCCAGGCGACGAUCCCUAGCUGGUCUGAGAGGAUGACCAGACACAUGGGAACGGAGACACGGUCCAGACUCCUAGGGGAGGCAGCAGUGGGGAAGAUGGAACAAUGGGCGCAAGUCUGAUGCAGCCAUGCCGCGUGUAUGAAGAAGGCCUUAGGGUUGUAAAGUACUUUCAGCGGGGAGGCGUUACCCGCAGAAGAAGCACCGGCUAACUCCGUGCCAGCAGCCGCGGUAAUUC